ACGAAUAAGGGGUGGGCAAGUCUGGUGUCAGCCGCCGCGGUAAUACCAGCACCUCGAGUGGUCAGGAGGUUUAUUGGGCCUAAAGCAUCCGUAGCCGGCUUUGCAAGUCUCCGGUUAAAUCCAACUGCUUAACAGAUGGGCUGCCGGAGAUACUACAAAGCUAGGGAGCGGGAGAGGCAGACGGUAUUCGGUGGGUAGGGGUAAAAUCCUUUGAUCCAUCGAGGACCACCAGUGGCGAAGGCGGUCUGCCAGAACGCGUUCGACGGUGAGGGAUGAAAGCUGGGGGAGCAAACCGGAUUAGAUACCCGGGUAGUCCCAGCUGUAAACGAUGCAAACUCGGUGAUGCAUUGGCUUAUGGCCAAUGCAGUGCCGCAGGGAAGCCGUUAAGUUUGCCGCCUGGGAAGUACGGACGCAAGUCUGAAACUUAAAGGAAUUGGCGGGGGAGCACCACAAGGGGUGAAGCCUGCGGUUCAAUUGGAGUCAACGCCUGGAAUCUUACCUGGGGAGACAGCAGAAUGAAGGUCAAGCUGAAGACUUUACCAGACAAGCUGAGAGGUAGUGCAUGGCC
rnacentral:rRNA from 1 species